GUAUUCUCUUAUAAGCAUAUGCCAUAAUUUAUUUAAUUAAUCCCCAGGUUUGAGCCCAUGGGUUGUGUACAAUCUUUCAUUAUUAUAUAAAUAGUGCUCUGAUGGGUGCCGUAGAUUAAAUCUUUGCCCAUAUUCUAUUUUUAUUUCCUUAGAAUAUUUCUAUAAAUGGAAUAGCUGUGUCACAAUUUAGUAACGUUGCAACAACAGCAAUGCAUAUUUUAAAGAUUUUUUGAUCCGUACUGUCAAAUUGUCCUCCAGAAAGGUUGUUCCUGUUCGUAUCAGAACUAGAAUCUUUGACCUUGGCUCAGAAGACGGCAAAGAGACUGGGAAAGAAUGCCUCUAAAUGGUGAGAAGUAAGAGGAUCUGACAUUCUGCUUUUCUCUGGUGCUGGAAAUACCUUUAAGACAGAAUGGGAAUCAGGACUGAGUCUUCAAGACCCCCAGGGUCCCUUGUGUUGACUGGAUUUCAACCAUUUGGAUAAACCCAGCCUUGUACCGCUGUGCUAAGGGGAACAAGGGACAGGGUUUAUAUCCAUAUUUGGACCAGCCUAGUAGUGGGAAUACUGGAAUCAGAGAGCACCCCAAAGGGAGAGCAGGGCUGGCCACUUUGCCUGCUACUGCCUGACCUGGCUAGUCCAUCGGUGCUUUCUCCCCACAAGCAAUAGGGGCUGAGUGGCACUGCUGUAGUAUUGGAAGUCGUUUCUUCUUCCUCUUCUCCUAACCCUUCUCUUUCUUCUCCUUCUUCUUCUUUCCCCCCCAUCUUUCCACGUUCUCUCGCGAGACGAUAUAUCCCAGGAGGGCAGAAACCACGUGAUGCUUCUUUUGUAUAACCAACAAUAGUAGAUAUGGGGAAGAUACUUGCUGAUUCUUCUCACUGUCAAAAUAAGAUGCAGAUUGGAUUUCUUUCGUCAUGUACAGAGACCAAAGGUGCUGCUGAGACAAGUUUCCGUGCCCUUUCUUGUGUGACUUUUCUGGACUUCACUUCUUGCCUGCUGUACUACAGUGCCCACUUGACCCCUACCACGUAGAUCACUCUCUCUCUCUCUCUCUCUCUCUCUCUCAAUCUCUUACUCACCAGGCCCCUGGUACCUACCUGACCCCGUCUGGCCAGCCAGGGGGCAAUUCUCCCCUCUCUCGACUGCUUCCUGACGUCCAUGCUGUCAUUUGUCAGAGGAGACCAAGACUCAGAAAGUUAAAUUGAAUUCAAAACUGUGCCUUCUAGCCAGUCUCGAGUCCUGAUUUUUAUUCCACU
rnacentral:lncRNA from 1 species